AUUGAACGCUGGCGGCAGGCUUAACACAUGCAAGUCGAGCGGGGUGAUGGUGCUUGCACUAUCACUUAGCGGCGGACGGGUGAGUAAUGCUUAGGAAUCUGCCUAUUAGUGGGGGACAACAUCUCGAAAGGGAUGCUAAUACCGCAUACGUCCUACGGGAGAAAGCAGGGGAUCACUUGUGACCUUGCGCUAAUAGAUGAGCCUAAGUCGGAUUAGCUAGUUGGUGGGGUAAAGGCCUACCAAGGCGACGAUCUGUAGCGGGUCUGAGAGGAUGAUCCGCCACACUGGAACUGAGAAACGGCCCAGGCUCCUACGGGAGGCAGCAGUGGGGAAUAUUGGACAAUGGGGGGAACCCUGAUCCAGCCAUGCCGGGUGUGUGAAGAAGGCCUUAUGGUUGUAAAGCACUUUAAGCGAGGAGGAGGCUCGUUUGGUUAAUACCCAAGAUGAGUGGACGUUACUCGCAGAAUAAGCACCGGCUAACUCUGUGCCAGCAGCCGCCGUAA
rnacentral:rRNA from 1 species